UACGGAGGGAGCUAGCGUUGUUCGGAAUUACUGGGCGUAAAGCGUGCGCAGGCGGUUCGCUAAGACAGAUGUGAAAUCCCCGGGCUUAACCUGGGAAUGGCAUUUGGGACUGCAAGGCUGGAGUGCGGCAGAGGAGACUGGAAUUCCUGGUGUAGCAGUGAAAUGCGUAGAUAUCAGGAGGAACACCGAUGGCGAAGGCAGGUCUCUGGGCUGACACUGACGCUCAUGCACGAAAGCGUGGGGAGCAAACAGG
rnacentral:rRNA from 1 species